rnacentral:rRNA from 1 species
GACAGAGGGUGCAAACGUUGUUCGGAAUUACUGGGCGUAAAGCGCGUGUAGGCGGCUUUGCAAGUCGGGUGUGAAAUCCCACGGCUCAACCGUGGAAGUGCACUCGAAACUGCAAGGCUAGAGUCCUGGAGAGGAAGGUGGAAUGCUUGGAUGUGAGAGGUGAAAUUCGUAGAUAUCAAGCGGAACACCGGUGGCGAAGGCGGCCUUCUGGACAGUG